CAACUACUUUGGCUUGGAGACCACCAAGCUUCUGAAGCCAAGGAUCGCAACUGAGAAAAAGCCAAAAACUGUAAGCGUACUUGAUUUUUGUUCUUCAAUCGGUAAAUAUUUAACUAUUAAUUGCAAAAUAUGGUGUUAAUCCACAAAAAAUAGUUGUGAAUUCAACUGUUAUAAUGUUGUUGGGUACGAUUUUAUGUCUCAAAAAUGUUUGGGUUUAGUAUUAUAAUUUGAUUUGAUUUUUCUUUUUCUUUUUUUUAAACCACGAAAAUCAGUUGAGAUGCUAUAAUUUCUCAAGUGUUGUACUAUUUUUUGUUGCAAGAAUGAUAGGGUUUAGGAUUCUUCUUUGAUGUUAUUUUUCUUUUGUUUUUUUUCAUCUGUGAAUGGGACGUGAUAAUGGUGCAUGGCUGCAUAAUUUUUGGUAGAAACACUUGGCUCAACAAUGAACAUUGUACCAAUUUAAGGUUCACAGUACAUGAUUUAUUAUGUAAAGAAUCUUGCUAACAAUUUUUUUAAAAAAAUUUAAAGUUUUGUUUUGUUGUCGACCAACAGAAAAAGACUUGUGAUAUGUGCCUUAUGUAUAAAGUUAUGAUCUUAUUGUUCUUUAUUUCAUCAAACACUAUAUAUGCUUUCACUAUUUGUGUCUUAUAUGUUAUAUUCCGUCAUUCAGUGGCCCAUUUGUAUGUUGUUUUAUUAGUAAGUGGUCCUUGUUGUUCCUUUAUUUUUAUUUAUUUAUUUAUUUAUUUAUUUGUGCUUAUUAAUGAUUAAAGUGUGCAGUUGGUUUUGAGAAUGUUACUGGUGAAGUGGUCCUGCUCAAGUUAGUUUUUUUUUUUUUUUUUUUUUUUUUUUUUUCCUACUCUUAUUUAAGUGUAUCCUCUAUUGCACUUUUGGACUUUUUAUGCUUAUUAUUGACCUUUUUGAAAUCUCAACAACCUUUUUAGUUGUUUACUUUAAUAUGUGAUUAAAGUAUUUGGUUAACUUUUUAAAUUGUUUACUGUCAAAUAUGAUUAAAGUAUGUAGGUUUAUGUUAUUUAUGUAGAUGCACUUUACAGCAUUGAACUCCAUCAUGGGGGUGUGUUCUCUAAAACACCCCCUAUGUCGUAUAUAGAAGAAUAUUUCACUAUGAUUCCAAUAGUUGACCCAGACAUCAUGUCAUAUGAUGAUAUUUAAGAGAUGGCUGGUUGAAGUGUUUUACAAAGUACCAUUUUUAAAGGGUAGUCAAAGCUUCAGAAAGGUUGAGUAUGACGGAUGUACUUAGCAUAUUUUAUGACUAUUAAGCUAAGAGGGUAACAACUAUCAUCAAGUUUUACAUUGUUCCACCUUUGUUAAAUGUGCAAGGGGAAAAGAUUAAGCUUCCAAUAGAUAGCUCAGACUCAAAUAGGUCAAGUGAUGAUAUCUCAAAACAAGAUUCAGAUUACGCUCUGAGUGAUAAGUUAAUUAAUUUAUGUGGAUUAGAUGAGGAGGAUAGUGGUCCUAAGUACCCAGAGUAUAUUCCUUCAAGGGUUUUGGAUGUAAAAGAACUAGAAUUAGGAAUGAAAUUUGGGACAGCUGCACACUUUAGAUUGGCACUUAAAGAAAUAGCAUUGAAGGGCAAGUUUAAUAUAAAGUUCAAAAGAAAUGAUGGUGAUAGGAUCUCUGCAGUAUGUAAGGCUAAAUGUGGGUGGAAAGUAUUUGCAAGCAAACCAGUCCGGAUUGCUUGAUAGUGAAGACAUAUAAGUCAGAACAUACCAACUAUCUUUGGUUUCAUACUAAUGGACAAGCAUCGUCUUCUUACUUAGCCACUAAGUACUUAAAGCAACUGAGAAUGAACCCAACCAUACCUUGUGAUACACUAAGGACCAUUAUUGCUUCUGAUAUAAACAUUGAUGUGUCCAAACACAAAGUAAGAAAGGUACAGAGAAAAGCUAUUGAAAUCAUUCAGGGAAAUAAAGCAGAACAAUAUCAAAAGAUGAGGAAAUACUGUCAGUUAAUAUAUACAUCUAACACAGGAAGUGUUGUUAAAAUUCAAACUAACCCCACAUGUGAACAGAAUGUAAGGAGAUUUCAAAGGGUUUUCAUCUGUUAUGCUAUAAUGAGGAAGGGUUUCAAAGAAGGUUGUAGGAAAAUUAUUGGUAUUGAUGGUUACUUUUUGAAGGGUUCAUAUGGUGGCCACCUUUUGAGUGCAAUAUCUAUUGGUGGAAAUAAACAAAUGUUCCUAGUUGCAAUUGCAGUAGUUGAGGCUGAGAUAAGGGAUUCUUGGAGUUGGUUUAUAACAUAACUGAUAGAGGCUGUGGGGCCUUAUACUGACAUCACAUUCAUAUCUGCUAUACAAAAGGGAUUGGUUGAAACUUUUGAGAAUAUCAUGGAGGGUUCGGUCCAUAGAUAUUAUGUGAGGCAUCUGUAUGAGAACUUCAGAUUUAAAGGGCAACAGUUGAAAAUUGACUCAACUUGAGUUGUGGGAGGCUGCAAGGUCAUUUACAGAAGCUAAUUUUGAUGCACAUAUGAAGAAGAUACAGGAGUUGAAUGUCGAAGCUUAUGGUUGGCUUCGAAAUGUGCCAUCUGAAAUGUGGUUAAGGUCAGGUUUCAUAUACUGAUCAAAAAGUGAAAUGGUGAUCAAUAAUAUAUGUGAAAGCUAGAUUGUUGUCAUUCUUAAAGCCAGGGAUAAACCAAUAAUUUAUAUGUUAGAGUGGAUCAGGAGGCAUUUCACUCUGAGAUUCCAACAAAAGAGGGAGUGGAUGGAAUCAAAUGAUGGCUUAUUGUGUCCAGAUAUUCAAAAUAAAUUGAACAAAGUGAAGAAGGCAACAAAGAUGUCUAACGUGCACUAUACUGGUGAUAACAAGUAUGAGGUUGAGUGUUUUGGUAUCAUUGAGGCAGUUGAUCUUGGAAAGAAGAGUCACAACUGCAGGGAAUGGAAUAUGACUAGUAUCCCUUGUAAACAUGUUGUAGCAUGCAUUUUUACAAGAAGGGGGAUAUGCCUGAAUCAUAUAUUGAUCCAUGCUAUCAUAGGGAAACCUACUUGAAGGUAUAUGCAGGUUUGAUCAAUCCAUUUCCCAUGAGAAAGUUGUUGAAAUCACAACCCAGUGAGCAAUUGUUUCCACCAAUCUUUAGGAAACCUAUUGGUAGACCAAAGAAGGCAAGGAAUAAGAAAAAUGAUAAGCCUAGUACUUCAAGCAAGCCAACCAAGGUUAGUAGGUCAAAUGAUCUGUUAACACGUUCAAAGUGCAAGGAGAAAGGCCAUAACUCAAGGACUUAUAAACUCCCUGCACCAUUGGUCAUUGAGAAACCUCCUCUAAAAAGGGGAGGCAGACCACUAAUACUUGGAAGAGGAAGAGGAAAAGGAAUACUAUUGAGAGGAAGGGGCAUGAGAGGUGCAAGAGGUGGACGAACUGCUGUUGGAAAUGAAAUUCCUACUGCAAUUCAGAGUCAAGAGGUCUAUGAUGAACAGUGAUUAUGCUUCAUGGUAAAUAACUUCAACUGCAGAUUUUUGGGUGUGGUUGGUACUGAAUUGAUAAUAGCUACUGUUGACAUGAAGAACUGGAAGUAUUUUUUGUCUCAUUGUGUCAUUGACAUGUAGCAUGCAUUAAGUUAAUGUUAUGUAAGAAUGUUUAAGUAUUUUGGUGUUAUGUAAGAAUGUUAAGUACUUUGGUGUUAUGAAAGAAUGUUAAGUACUUUGGUUAUCGUUAUUAUAAGAAUGAUUUGGUUAUGUAAAUCCAGUUCAGUAUGCUUACUUAUAAUGGUCAUAUGUUAUUAUUG